GUCGAAGGUCGCGGGCGCCACAGCGGCAGAAGGAGCGUUGACUUCUUGCGCCUUGAUGAGAAGCCGUCGGCCACCGUCGACGCCGGCGCCGGCGGAGAUGCGGUGGCUUCUGAGGGGGAGAGCAAGGGCGGGGUUGAUGAAGGCAGAGGAGCGGGCGGUGAGGAUAUCGCCGGAGGUGGACGAGGUGAAAGAGAGGUUGAUGGUGGAGGCCAUUGGAAUUGUGUGGUGAACGAAUUCAGAAUUCAAUCACAGUUAGGGUUAGGAAUUG
rnacentral:misc_RNA from 1 species